rfam:Felis catus isolate Cinnamon breed Abyssinian chromosome B2, whole genome shotgun sequence.
GCCUGGGUGGCUCAGUCGGUUGAGCAUCUGACUGCAGCUCAGGUGAUGAUCUCGCAGUUCGUAGGUUCAAGCCCUGCAUCAGACU